rnacentral:rRNA from 1 species
GUUGGUUGGUAGUCCCGUAACGAGCGCAACCCUUGUCCUUAGUUACCAGCACGUUAUGGUGGGCACUCUAAGGAGACUGCCGGUGACAAACCGGAGGAAGGUGGGGAUGACGUCAAGUCAUCAUGGCCCUUACGGCCUGGGCUACACACGUGCUACAAUGGUCGGUACAAAGGGUUGCCAAGCCGCGAGGUGGAGCUAAUCCCAUAAAACCGAUCGUAGUCCGGAUCGCAGUCUGCAACUCGACUGCGUGAAGUCGGAAUCGCUAGUAAUCGUGAAUCAGAAUGUCACGGUGAAUACGUUCCCGGGCCUU